rnacentral:rRNA from 1 species
AACGAACGCUGGCGGCAGGCCUAACACAUGCAAGUCGAACGAACCCUGCGGGGUUGGUGGCGCACGGGUGCGCAACCCGGGGGAAUCUGCCCUUGGCUUCGGAAGGACGCAGGGAAACUUGUGCUAAUACCGGCGCUUGUCUUCCGACCAAAGAUUGAACGACAUGGGAUGAGCCCGAGUAGUAUUAGUUAGUUGGUAGUGUAAAUGGCUACCAAGGCUACGAGACUUAGCUGGUCUGAGAGGAUGAUUAGCCACACUGGGACUGAGGCACGGCCGAGACUACUACGGGAGGCAGCAGUGGGGAAUAUUGGACAAUGGGCGGAAGCAUGAUCCAGCACUGACGCGUGAGUGCUGAAGGUCGUGGGGUAGUAAAGCUCUUUUACCCGGGACGAUAAUGACAGUACCUGGAGAAUAAGCUCCGGCUAACUCCGUG